rfam:Schistosoma mattheei strain Denwood, Zambia genome assembly, scaffold: SMTD_scaffold0001438
AUAGUUACCUGGCGCCGAGUUGAGGGUGAUCAGGAACGCUCUGACUCCCGCGUGGAAGCUCACCAUUGCACCAUGGUGAGUUGAAACUCACGACGACCCUUAAUCAGGUGAGCUCGGGCGUGUAGUUUUUUACGAAC